rnacentral:misc_RNA from 1 species
UACGGAGGGUGCAAGCGUUGUCCGAAAUUACUGGGUGUAAAGGGUGUGCAGGCGGAGCAGUAAGUCAGUGGUGAAAGCCCCCGGCUUAACCGGGGAAUUGCCUCUGAUACUGCUGUUCUUGAGUCCCGGAGAGGCUGCCGGAAUUCGUGGUGUAGCGGUGAAAUGCGUAGAGAUCGGGAGGAAUACCAGUGGCGAAGGCGGCCUUCUGGACUGAUACUGACACUGAGGUGCGAAAGCGUGGGUAGCAAACAGG